AUUGAACGCUGGCGGCAGGCUUAACACAUGCAAGUCGAGCGGAGUGAUGGUGCUUGCACUAUGACUUAGCGGCGGACGGGUGAGUAAUGCUUAGGAAUCUGCCAUUUAGUGGGGGACAACAUUCCGAAAGGAAUGCUAAUACCGCAUACGUCCUACGGGAGAAAGCAGGGGAUCUUCGGACCUUGCGCUAAAUGAUGAGCCUAAGUCGGAUUAGCUAGUUGGUGGGGUAAAGGCCUACCAAGGCGACGAUCUGUAGCGGGUCUGAGAGGAUGAGCCGCCACAAUGGGACUGAGACACGGCCCAGACUCCUACGGGAGGCAGCAGUGGGGAAUAUUGGACAAUGGGCGGAAGCCUGAUCCAGCCAUGCCGCGUGUGUGAAGAAGGCCUUUUGGUUGUAAAGCACUUUAAGCGAGGAGGAGGCUACUAGUACUAAUACUACUGGAUAGUGGACGUUACUCGCAGAAUAAGCACCGGCUAACUCUGUGCCAGCCGCCGCGGUAAUAC
rnacentral:rRNA from 1 species